CUACACCACCGCUAGAUUAGAAAGAAACCUAAAGUAGUACAGCACUUUCCAACAAGCCACGUCCACCCAGGAGCACAGGCUAACUCUCUGCUUGGAAGCAAAUAACUUUUUUUUUUUUUUUUGAGAUGGAGUAUUACUCUGUCGCCCAGGCUGGAAUGCAGUGGCACCAUCUCAGCUCACUGCAACCUCUGCCUGCCGGGUUCAAGCAAUUCUGCCUCAGCCUCCCGAGUAGCUGGGACUACCGGCGGACACCACCAUUCCCAGCGAAUUUUUUGUAUUUUUAGUAGAGAUGGGGUUUCACCAUGCUGGCCAGGUUGGUCUGGAACUCCUGACCUCGUGAUCUGCUCACCUGGGCCUCCCAAAGUGCUGGGAUUACAGGUGUGAGCCACCGUGCCCAGCCAAAGGACAUUUUUUAAUAUUUCUAGAUGUAUCCUUGGUAAAUGUAGGCAAAGAGUUAGUCACCUUUGAAGCGCUCAGGACUCCACACUCUCGCCCUUGUACUUGGCCUGUGGCCCUCUUGGCACAAUCCUGCCUCUAUCUCUCCACCCCUUGCUUCUCUGUCCCUUUAUAGGAUGAAGCACAGGUCAAGAUGCCAGUUCUAUUUCCAGCCUUGAGCCAAAGCAGUCUGAGACAGCGUGGACUGGCAACCUGGGCACCCAGUGGAAGGGACUGAGUACAAACUGCACCUCCGUCACAAACUGUCUCAGAGCCCAUGGCAACUUACUCAAUAGUCUCCGUUUUGGCUUAUGCAGCUGCCCGAUGGGGAUCAACAUUUCUCAACCAGACAGAUGUGGCAGGGUGAUCGGCUGACCUGCUGAACCCGUCUCUGUAUCCUUGGCCAGUCUGAAGAUGUCUCAGUGAACAAAAACACCCUGAUUGAACCUCUCUGCGCUGGCAUGAGUGAUAGACUCUCAGCUCAAACGACAUUGGCAAAUGCACUCCUAGAAAGUGACUCCAUCGGUCAA